CCUACGGUGUGCAGCAGUGGGGAAUAUUGCACAAUGGGGGAAACCCUGAUGCAGCGACGCCGCGUGAGUGAAGAAGUAAUUCGUUAUGUAAAGCUCUAUCAGCAGGGAAGAAAAUGACGGUACCUGAGUAAGAAGCCCCGGCUAACUACGUGCCAGCAGCCGCGGUAAUACGUAGGGGGCAAGCGUUAUCCGGAUUUACUGGGUGUAAAGGGAGCGUAGACGGCAGUGCAAGUCUGGAGUGAAAGGCGGGGGCUCAACUCCGGGACUGCUUUUGAAACUGUUGAACUAGAUUGCAGGAGAGGUAAGUGGAAUUCCUAGUGUAGCGGUGAAAUGCGUAGAUAUUAGGAGGAACACCAGUGGCGAAGGCGGCUUACUGGACUGUAAAUGACGCUGAGGCUCGAAAGCGUGGGGAGCAAACAGGAUUAGAUACCCGAGUAGUC
rnacentral:rRNA from 1 species